GGCAGUUCUCGGGUGACACACCCAGAAUCUGGCUCCCUCCUCUCUGGUUCUGGGGUUCAUCACCUGAGAACCACC
rfam:Myotis lucifugus cont2.25326, whole genome shotgun sequence.